rnacentral:rRNA from 1 species
AGAGUUUGAUUAUGGCUCAGGAUGAACGCUAGCGGGAGGCUUAACACAUGCAAGUCGAGGGGCAGCACAGGUAGCAAUACUGGGUGGCGACCGGCGCGACGGGUGAGUAACGCGUAUGUAACCUACCUUGUACAGGGGGAUAGCCCGGAGAAAUUCGGAUUAAUACCCCAUAAUGAUAUAAAGUGGCAUCACUAAAUAUUUAAAGCUUCGGCGGUACAGGAUGGGCAUGCGUAACAUUAGCUAGUUGGUAGGGUAACGGCCUACCAAGGCGACGAUGUUUAGGGGUCCUGAGAGGGUGAUCCCCCACACUGGUACUGAGACACGGACCAGACUCCUACGGGAGGCAGCAGUGAGGAAUAUUGGUCAAUGGGCGCAAGCCUGAACCAGCCAUCCCGCGUGCAGGAAGAAGGCGCUAUGCGUUGUAAACUGCUUUUCCGGGGGAAGAAAACCCGCGAUGUAUCGUGGAUUGCCGGUACCCUGGGAAUAAGCAUCGGCUAACUCCGUGCCAGCCGCCGC